rnacentral:rRNA from 3 species
CAGCAGUGAGGAAUAUUGGUCAAUGGCCUAACGGCUGAACUGGCAACUUGGAGAAGUGGCAAGUCUUCUAGGAUGGGCUGGUGCUACCCCAUUUCUAUAAGAUUGUAUUAGGAUUGAAUGAAGCUUUGUUUAUAUAUUGAUAAUGACAGUAUAUAUAUCGUGUCUUGACUAAUUGCGUGCCAGCAGUCGCGGUAAUACGUAAGAGACUAGUGUUAUUCAUCUUAAUUAGGUUUAAAGGGUACCCAGACGGUCAAUAUAGCUUCCAAAAUGUUAGUACUUGACUAGAGUUUUAUGUAAGAGGGCAGUACUUGAGGAGGAGAGAUGAAAUUCCGUGAUACCAAAGGGACUCUGUAAAGGCGAAGGCAGCCCUCUAUGUAAAAACUGACGUUGAAGGACGAAGGCACAGAGAACAAACAGGAUUAGAUACCCAAGUAGUCUUUGCAGUAAAUGAUGAAUGCCAUAGGUCAGAUUAAUGUUGAUAGGGGACUAGGCAUUAAAUGUUAUUUGGUCUAUAAAUGAAAGUGUAAGCAUUUCACCUCAAGAGUAAUGUGGCAACGCAGGAACUGAAAUCACUAGACCGUUUCUGACACCAGUAGUGAAGUAUGUUAUUUAAUUCGAUGAUCCGC